rnacentral:snRNA from 1 species
GAAUGUGAAGGCAGUCUGGUUUCAACAUCUGUCACCCCAUUGAUUUCCAGGGUUGAUUUGGCCAAUCUGGCAGCCUAGGGUGUGUUAUCAUUCUCCUUCACUGCCCCAUGUGUGCCCUUCCCAGAGCUGCAUGUUCAGUUGAAGAGGAGGAGCAUUCCUUUGUCACAGAUAUAUAAAUUAGCUGUGCUCUGUUAGAAUCUCCAAACAAUGGAAAAUAUCAGAUAAGGACUACUCCCAGCCCCUUCCUAGAUAUCAAGAGGAAUUAAUACAGCUA